CUUUAUUGGAGAGUUUGAUCCUGGCUCAGGAUGAACGCUGGCGGCGUGCCUAAUACAUGCAAGUCGAGCGAAUGGAUUGAGAGCUUGCUCUCAAGAAGUUAGCGGCG
rnacentral:rRNA from 1 species